GGCAGACUCCAGCUGUGUCCUGCCCAACUGUAGUUAGAGGUAGCUCUGAGUACGUGGCACUUCAGAGGUGACUUGGACAAGGCAAUGAGAGCCUUCAUCCAUGAGCUGUCAUCAAAACACUGCUAAUAGCAACAACAGUCUGGGCUCUCCCAUGGCGAUGUGCUGCCAAAACUGUAUGGAAGUCACUCCAAGUUUCAUACAGAAACAAAGAAGGAAAACUGCAGGAUGCUAUGUAACACACUGCUGGAAUACCACAGUGCUAUUUAUUGCAGACUUGUCAGGAGUUGAGUGAUUUUCAGUGUGGUCCAUGAGGAAGCAAGAAGCUUGAACCAG
ensembl:lncRNA